ACCAUCCUUUUCUUGGGGUUGCGCUACUGUCCAAUGAGCGCAUAGUGAGGACAGUACUGCUAACGCCUAAACAACACACCCGCAUCAACCUAAAUUUUGAUUUACGUUGGUGCAAUUUUUGGAAAC
ensembl:snRNA